GGGCCCGCACAAGCGGUGGAGUAUGUGGUUUAAUUCGAUGCAACGCGAAGAACCUUACCAGGGCUUGACAUCCUGCGAACCUCUGGGAAACCGGAGGGUGCCUUCGGGAACGCAGUGACAGGUGGUGCAUGGCUGUCGUCAGCUCGUGUCGUGAGAUGUUGGGUUAAGUCCCGCAACGAGCGCAACCCACGUCUUUAGUUGCCAGCAUUUAGUUGGGCACUCUAGAGAGACUGCCGGUGAUAAACCGGAGGAAGGUGUGGAUGACGUCAAGUCAUCAUGCCCCUUACAUCCUGGGCUACACACGUACUACAAUGCUACGGACAAAGGGCAGCAAACUCGCGAGAGCUAGCAAAUCCCAUAAACCGUGGCUCAGUUCAGAUCGUAGGCUGCAACUCGCCUACGUGAAGGAGGAAUCGCUAGUAAUCGCAGGU
rnacentral:rRNA from 1 species